GUAAAGCGUUGAUCUGGGAGGUUGUUGAUACACUGAUAGCCGUUGUCUAUGUAUCAAGUAUUUCCAGGGAGUAAAGUCUAUGCAAGGAUUAUAGGCGA
rfam:Acholeplasma oculi genome assembly, chromosome: 1